CCGGCUUCGCGCUAUUGGCUAGUCGCUCAUAGCACUUCUGGGCGACGAGCGACGAUUUCUAGAUUUCCAGAACCGAGCCAUCUGUUCAAGCGACGGCCCGUUUUGUCGCUCGUCGCCGUCGCGCACUAAAUCGCUCUCACAGUGUUUAUCCCUAAGACUGAACUGUUUUUGCUCAUGUUGAAAUGGUGUGAUUAUAGGUCUGGUUUUGUCUCCUGUUGCGGUUUUCGUGCACGGUGCGAAACUGAAAGGAUGCUUAUGUCUACGAACUCGGUGAAUUGUCGAGCAGCUAGUUACGCAUCGGCAUCGAAUAUAACGGCUGCUGUGUGGAAUUACAAUUGCAGGGGCGCUUUGCAUACGCUUAUUGUUUUGGACAUGCCUGUGCAUUUGCUAAUAUGAGUUGGCUUGUCAGAGUUAUGUCAUAUGAACAGCUAAAUCAGCCUUCCUCUGGGUGUUACAAGCGUAAUGUGUGCAUUUUGCUAUAGCAUGGCAGAAUAUGAUGUGUUUAUCGCUUGAAUAUUUUUAGUAGAGAAAUAAAAUAUCAAAAUAAAAUGUUGCUUUAAUUCCGUGUUACCAUUCUGUCGUACACAGAACAAUAGGUUGGUGUAAUAAACUAAUAACUGCGGUUUAACUGCAACUUUUACAUGCCUACAAGAAUCUAAAAUGCUAGAUUUCAAACUGCAGCAGUAGUCGGGUCUGUCAAAAAUGAACUCCACUGCGCACCUCAUGCAUGAAAAUAAGUUCAUGCCUUUUAGUAAGCUUAGAUGCAGGCCGCAGUGAACUUGUUAGUAUUGAAAUGUGGGUAAGCUUGCCAUAACAAGCCUUGUUGCCCUUCUUUAUAGGCACAUCCAUAUAUCCAUUGAGCUGAAGGACAAUAUUUUCAUCCCUACUGAGCAUCAUGUUUGCAGCUAUAAUCCUCAAAUUAUGGCUUCAGCAGUGGCACAACCAGGCAUGGUGCGGGGGGGUGGGGGGGCACACUGGGCACGUGCUUAGGAUGUGUCACAAGUGGUGUUUGCGAUACACCAGACUCAUGACAGACCUAUGACGUCUGAAAAUGACCAAUAUUCUAUUCAUUAGCAGGAGUAUUCUAACAUUCAUGAAAAACAAGGAUGAACUGUGGUUUGUUUUUUUGCUUAAAUCUAAAAAUUGAAGUUAGUUUAGCAGUUGACUGUUUCAGUCAUUUGGAUGUUUUGCAUGCAUUUCACUAGGAAGACUAAGAGCUAAGACUUUUUUAUUGCCAUUGCCUUGACUGUCUUGAUGUUGUUUUGCACCAUGUCCUUGUGUUGACUUUUGCAUACGAUAUUUUUCAGGCAGCCGCUUUAUAUAACGCAAGAAGGCAGCUGCAAGGACACGAGGAUGUGAAAGAGCCAGUGCAGCGCGACUUCACGUAGUGUAGAGGAGCCAAUGCCAAAAAAUCAAAAUACAUUGGCAUGUUAUUUGGACAAGAAAACUAGUAUGGACAACCCAGGACGUGCAUUUCUCAGCACCCAGUCAACUGCCAAAAGUGACUCAAACACAGGCCACCAGUGGAACUCGGCUGUACCACUGCAGUGCUGCGGAAAUUGCCUUCACCAGCGGCUUUGCAACAGCUGUUUCGCAGCAUGUCGGAGAUAAUGCCUACGAAAUUAUUGGCCCUGAUCAUGAGAGCCCUCAAGGGGCAAACAACAUCUCUGUUGCAGAAGUGAGCCCGGUACCACUUGGAAGUUACCAUGACAGAUGACACGGCAGCAAUAGAUACAGAGACUGCCACGUCUACUGCAGCUGCAACAGUGUACGAGGCAAGCAGCAGCGCGUCAGCAGCAGUGUCAGAAGGAACCACACCAGGCCUGGUAGAGCAACAUGUGUGCUAUCACUGACUUUUUUUGUAGUGGAUACAACUCAUUUGCUCAACAUACAAAAGCUUUUCACCACGACUGUGAGCCAGUGUUAUUGUGCAGCAAGUGCAAGACUAAGUUAAGUGUUAUAACACAGUACAAGCAUCACUUUAACAUAUGAAAACAUAUUACAGUUGUUGCCUCCCCAGCCAGCCCACAUAGCCACAACAAUGUUGAACACAUGGUGGGACACACAUCUUCUCCAUUAGAAGAUAGUAGAGACUAUCAGUGUUGUUGUUAGAUUAACUGGUCUUUGUAGGCAACUAGGACAACACAGGUGUCAUAAGAUUGUUGUUGAUGUUGUUGUUGAAGAGGUAAAAAAGAAGUUCGAUGCAGCUGAAGUGCCAACUGAUAUUGAGCAAAUCAAAAGCAACCACCUGAGAAAGCAACACUAUCGAAAUUUGGGUAUCUAUGUGCCGCCAACUCUGGUAAGAAUGGCAUAGGACAGAAGUGUGAUGAAAAUCAGAGACACUGCUGUUGCAUCACUGGCCACAGUGAGCAGCGACUUGUAGGGCAAGAGAGUCAACUGAAACUAACAUUAUGAUAUAGUGUCAUGCUCCCAUGUGACCACUUUUCAAGUUAUUUUGCAAGAUACAGCUCAACCUCCAGAAACGAGACUGCAAGUUGUCUGUAAAAAAGCUUUCACAAAAUAUUAUUCAUAGCACUAUUAACAUAGCAGUAUCUUUUUUUUUGUGUUGGUUCGAGGUUCCCGGCUGUCCAUUAAUGCAAAAAUUGAGGAAAAAAAGAACAUGUGUCGUACUUACACCUUUUUAACAAGUACGAGGUGGACAGAACUUUUCUAGUCAUGCAUCUUCAUCAUACUAUCAAGUUUUUAAAUGCCUUUUAUAAUUUUUAUUACCAAUUAUAUCUGAGUGCAUUGUAUGCAUGUAGCAGGUGUAAAAUCAGGUCAGUUGGAUCAGAUGCCUUAUCUGCAAGCGAGCCCUAUAUUCAAGAAAUUUGAAAUAAAAUAGUUACGUUAGAGACGCAGUCUUUCAGCACUUUAUUGCCUGUGGUUUAAGCAUUGCUCAAUACUUUUGUGGGUGGCAAUUUCAACCGGCACAGCACUGCGCUUUGCCACAGUCACAUUUGUCUUCAAAGCGGUGUUUACCAUUUGUGUUGAUCUGUUUGUGUAUGCAUAGAGCAAGUUUUUAAUUUAUAUUUUUCUGCAUUCUUGUGCUUGCACUAAGCUUGUAUAAGGCAGUUACAAAAUGUGCGGCACUAUAACGAACUGUUCUGUUGAGCUUACACUUGCAAAUAAUCGUGUUCAGAUGGCCGCACUUCUAUGCGGGUGCACCGCUAGCUUUGUGUAUGUUCUCAUGUUUGUAUAAAGCUUAUAUAAGCUAGUUAGAAAAUGUAUGUCACUAAGCAUUGUGAUAUUCUUUAAAGAACUGCUUGGUUGGUUUUACACUUGUGAAUUAGUAUUGAGGCGGUGGUAUUCCCAUGUAUGCCCACUGCUAGCUUUCUGUGUCCUCACGUGUUUGUAUUAAGUUUCUACAAGGGAGUUACAGCAUGUACGUCACUAAGCGCUGUGAUAUUUUUUAAAGAACUGCUUUGUUGGUUUUACACCUGUGAGUAAUAGUACUCGUGUGGCACUAGUCAUGUGUAGGUACACAGGGACCAUUUGUAUACAUUAUGCUCAUGUAAAGCAGUUACAAAGUGUAUGUCACUAAUUACUGUGAUAUUUGUUGAAUUGCUGUGAUGGUUUUACACAUGUGAAUAAUAAUGGUCAGGACACAGUACUUGCGGUGCAUAGUUGAAUUUAUACACUGCCAAGACAUGGGCUGUAUACGUACCAAAAG